GACGAACGCUGGCGGCGUGCUUAACACAUGCAAGUCGAACGGAAAGGCCCUGCUUUUGUGGGGUGCUCGAGUGGCGAACGGGUGAGUAACACGUGAGUAACCUGCCCUUGACUUUGGGAUAACUUCAGGAAACUGGGGCUAAUACCGGAUAGGAGCUCCUGCUGCAUGGUGGGGGUUGGAAAGUUUCGGCGGUUGGGGAUGGACUCGCGGCUUAUCAGCUUGUUGGUGGGGUAGUGGCUUACUAAGGCUUUGACGGGUAGCCGGCCUGAGAGGGUGACCGGCCACAUUGGGACUGAGAUACGGCCCAGACUCCUACGGGAGGCAGCAGUGGGGAAUAUUGCACAAUGGGCGGAAGCCUGAUGCAGCAACGCCGCGUGCGGGAUGACGGCCUUCGGGUUGUAAACCGCUUUCGCCUGUGACGAGGCGUGAGUGACGGUAAUGGGUAAAGAAGCACCGGCUAACUACGUG
rnacentral:rRNA from 1 species